GAUGAACGCUGGCGGCAUGCCUAAUACAUGCAAGUCGAGCGAACAGACGAGGAGCUUGCUCCUUCGACGUUAGCGGCGGACGGGUGAGUCACACGUAGGUAACCUACCUAUAGGACUGAGAUAACUUCAGGAAACCGGAGAUAACACCGGUCAAUAUUUCGAACCGCAUGGUUCGAUAGUGAAAGAUCUCUUUGCUGACCCUUAUUGAUGUUCCUGAGUCGUAUUAGCUAGUUGGUAAGGUAACGGCUUACCAAGGCAACGAUCCGUAGCCGACCUGAGAGGGUGAUCAGCCACACUGGAACUGAGACACGGUCCAGACUCCUACGGGAGGCAGCAGUGGGGAAUCUUGCACAAUGGGCGAAAGCCUGACCGAGCAACGCCGCGUGAGUGAAGAAGGUCUUCGGAUCGUAAAACUCUGUUAGUUGGGAAGAACAAAAGUAUGAUAAACUGUUCACGUCUUGACGGUACCUAAUCAGAAAGCCCCGGCUAACUACGUG
rnacentral:rRNA from 1 species